rnacentral:rRNA from 1 species
UACGUAGGGGGCAAGCGUUAUCCGGAUUUACUGGGUGUAAAGGGCGUGUAGCCGGGCUGACAAGUCAGAUGUGAAAUCCCGUGGCUCAACCACGGAACUGCAUUUGAAACUGUCGGUCUUGAGUAUCGGAGAGGUAAGCGGAAUUCCUAGUGUAGCGGUGAAAUGCGUAGAUAUUAGGAGGAACACCAGUGGCGAAGGCGGCUUACUGGACAGUAACUGACGCUGAGGCGCGAAAGCGUGGGGAGCAAACAGG